rnacentral:rRNA from 1 species
GUACCUGACUAAGAAGCCCCGGCUAACUACGUGCCAGCAGCCGCGGUAAUACGUAGGGGGCAAGCGUUAUCCGGAUUUACUGGGUGUAAAGGGAGCGUAGACGGCAUUGCAAGCCAGAUGUGAAAGCCCGGGGCUCAACCCCGGGACUGCAUUUGGAACUGCAGAGCUAGAGUGUCGGAGAGGCAAGUGGAAUUCCUAGUGUAGCGGUGAAAUGCGUAGAUAUUAGGAGGAACACCAGUGGCGAAGGCGGCUUGCUGGACGAUGACUGACGUUGAGGCUCGAAAGCGUGGGGAGCAAACAGGAUUAGAUACCCUGGUAGUCCACGCCGUAAACGAUGACUACUAGGUGUCGGGUGGCAAAGCCAUUCGGUGCCGCAGCAAACGCAAUAAGUAGUCCACCUGGGGA